rnacentral:rRNA from 1 species
UGGGGAAUAUUGGACAAUGGGCGCAAGCCUGAUCCAGCCAUGCCGCGUGAGUGAAGAAGGCCCUAGGGUUGUAAAGCUCUUUCACCGGUGAAGAUAAUGACGGUAACCGGAGAAGAAGCCCCGGCUAACUUCGUGCCAGCAGCCGCGGUAAUACGAAGGGGGCUAGCGUUGUUCGGAUUUACUGGGCGUAAAGCGCACGUAGGCGGACUAUUAAGUCAGGGGUGAAAUCCCGGGGCUCAACCCCGGAACUGCCUUUGAUACUGGUAGUCUUGAGUUCGAGAGAGGUGAGUGGAAUUCCGAGUGUAGAGGUGAAAUUCGUAGAUAUUCGGAGGAACACCAGUGGCGAAGGCGGCCCACUGGCUCGAUACUGACGCUGAGGUGCGAAAGCGUGGGGAGCAAACAGG